rnacentral:rRNA from 1 species
GCGACCUACGGGGGGCAGCAGUGGGGAAUAUUGGACAAUGGGGGGAACCCUGAUCCAGCGACGCCGCGUGAGUGAAGAAGUAUUUCGGUAUGUAAAGCUCUAUCAGCAGGGAAGAAAAUGACGGUACCUGACUAAGAAGCCCCGGCUAACUACGUGCCAGCAGCCGCGGUAAUACGUAUGGGGCAAGCGUUAUCCGGAUUUACUGGGUGUAAAGGGAGCGCAGGCGGCUUGGCAAGUCUGAUGUGAAAGGCUGGGGCUCAACCCCAGGACUGCAUUGGAAACUGUUAGGCUGGAGGGCGGGAGGG